GUGGGGAAUAUUGGACAAUGGGGGGAACCCUGAUCCAGCCAUGCCGCGUGUGUGAAGAAGGCCUUUUGGUUGUAAAGCACUUUAAGCGAGGAGGAGGCUACCGAGAUUAAUACUCUUGGAUAGUGGACGUUACUCGCAGAAUAAGCACCGGCUAACUCUGUGCCAGCAGCCGCGGUAAUACAGAGGGUGCAAGCGUUAAUCGGAUUUACUGGGCGUAAAGCGCGCGUAGGUGGCCAAUUAGGUCAAAUGUGAAAUCCCCGAGCUUAACUUGGGAAUUGCAUUCGAUACUGGUUGGCUAGAGUAUGGGAGAGGAUGGUAGAAUUCCAGGUGUAGCGGUGAAAUGCGUAGAGAUCUGGAGGAAUACCGAUGGCGAAGGCAGCCAUCUGGCCUAAUACUGACACUGAGGUGCGAAAGCAUGGGGAGCAAACAGGAUUAGAAACCCGGGUAGUCC
rnacentral:rRNA from 1 species